rnacentral:tRNA from 1 species
GUGGAUAUAGCUCGGUUAAUUGAGUGCUUGCCUCUCAUGCACAAGGCCUUGGGUUCAAACCCCAGCGUGCACA